GACGUAGGGGGCCAGCGUUGCUCGGAAUUACUGGGCGUAAAGGGUUCGUAGGCGGUGCGGUAAGUCGGAAGUGAAAUCUCUGGGCUUAACUCAGAGGCUGCUUUCGAAACUGCCGUGCUGGAGUGCGGGAGAGGCGAGUGGAAUUGCAGGUGUAGCGGUGAAAUGCGUAGAUAUCUGCAGGAACACCCGUGGCGAAGGCGAGUCCCUGGACAACUCCUGACACUGAGGCACGAAAGCUAGGGGAGCAAACAGG
rnacentral:rRNA from 1 species